UACGUAGGGGGCGAGCGUUGUCCGGAUUUAUUGGGCGUAAAGAGCUCGUAGGCGGCUUAGCAAGUCGGGUGUGAAAACUCCAGGCUCAACCUGGAGACGCCACUCGAGACUGCUAUGGCUAGAGUCCGGUAGGGGACCACGGAAUUCCUGGUGUAGCGGUGAAAUGCGCAGAUAUCAGGAAGAACACCCGUGGCGAAGGCGGCUCUCUGGAACGCAACUGACGCUGAGACGCGAAAGCGUGGGGAGCAAACAGG
rnacentral:rRNA from 1 species